rnacentral:rRNA from 1 species
GACGAACGCUGACGGCGUGCUUAACACAUGCAAGUCGAAGGGAGUGGCGAACGGGUGAGUAACACGUGAGCAACCUGCCCUUUUCUUUGGGAUAAGCCUGGGAAACUGGGUCUAAUACUGGAUGGAUUGGGAUGGGCUCGCGGCUUAUCAGCUUGUUGGUGGGGUGAUGGCUUACCAAGGCUUUGCCGGGUAGCCGGCCUGAGAGGGUGGUCGGUCACUCUGGGACGGAGAAACGGCCCAGACGCCUACGGGGUGCAGCAGUUGGGGAUAUUGAACAAUGGACGAAAGACUGAUGCAGCGACGUCGUGUGGGGUAUGAAGGCCUUCGGGUUGUAAACUCCUUUCGCCCGCGGAAUGGUAGUGGGUAAAGAAGCGCCGGCUAACUACGUGCCAGCAGCCGCGGUAAUUC